rnacentral:pre_miRNA from 1 species
AGUUGGAAGUUGGAUCUCGACAUGUAAAUCUAAAUUUUGUGCCAGAUCUAACUCUUCCAGCUCG